AAAUCAGAUAAUGUAUAAUAUGUACCAGCAUUUUGUCACUUGUAAAGUGACAUAAAAUUUAAAGUUUAUAUAGAUGAUUAUAAAAUCCUAUAGUCCUACGGUAUAAAUCCUAUAGGUAUAUAGGUAAAAUCCUAUAUACCUAUAUAGUCCUAUAAAAUUAUAGCCGUAUGUGUAUAGGGUCAUGUUCACAGUGUGCUACUGAAGCAAUCCUUUACCACAAACCAAAUGCCCUGAUGAUACUCCCCUGAUGAUAUGGCCAUGAUUAGACUAUGUUAUAUGGCAAGGUUCAAGAAAUUUUGCAGAUGCAGUUAAGGUCCCUAAUCAGCUGGCUUUGAGUAUCAACAGGGAGACAGUGCUAGCUGGGCCUGACCUAAUAAGGUGAGCUCUCACAAGAAGUCUGAGAGAUUCUCCUGUGGGCCUUGAAGAAGUUAGCUACCAUGUUGAAAGAGGGCCACAUCGGCUAAGACCUAAGGGUGGCCUCUAGGAGAUGAGAGCUACUUUCCAGCUGUCAGCCAGCGAGAGAAGCCAGGACCUCUGUUGUACAACCACAAGAAACUGAAUUCUUCUAACAACCUGGAUUAGCUUGGAAGAGUACUUCAAACUUCAGAUGACACUGUAACCCUAGCUGACACCUAAAUUUCGGCCUCCUGAGACCCUCAGUAUCAAACGUAGCUGACCUGUGCCUGGACUUGUAACAUACAGAACUGUGAGAUAAUAAAUGAGUUGGAAUAAGCCACUAA